rnacentral:rRNA from 1 species
UACAGAGGGUGCAAGCGUUGUCCGGAAUUAUUGGCGUAAAGCGCGCGCAGGCGGUUCUUUAAGUCUGAUGUGAAAGCCCACGGCUCAACCGUGGAGGGUCAUUGGAAACUGGAGAACUUGAGUACAGAAGAGGAAAGCGGAAUUCCACGUGUAGCGGUGAAAUGCGUAGAGAUGUGGAGGAACACCAGUGGCGAAGGCGGCUUUCUGGUCUGUAACUGACGCUGAGGCGCGAAAGCGUGGGGAGCAAACAGG